AAAAUCACGCAAAAGAUGCAAUGGUAAGAGAGCAGAAGUUAAAACAAGGUCAAUCGAAAAGACAUUUAAUUGAAAGAAUACAAGAUAGUAUAAAUCUUUGUGAAUAAAAUUGAGUGCGGGAUAGUGGCGGACGGGUGAGUAACGCGUGAACAAUCUGCCCCGUACAAAGGGAUAGCCUCGGGAAACCGGGAUUAAAACCAUAUAACACUUAACUGCCGCAUGGUAGUGAAGUCAAAUCGAGUAAGAGGUAUGGGAUGAGUUCGCGUCUGAUUAGCUAGUUGGUGAGGUAAGGGCUCACCAAGGCGACGAUCAGUAGCCGGCCUGAGAGGGUGAACGGCCACACUGGAACUGAGACACGGUCCAGACUCCUACGGGAGGCAGCAGUGGGGAAUAUUGCACAAUGGAGGGAACUCUGAUGCAGCGACGCCGCGUGAGUGAAGAAGGUCUUCGGAUCGUAAAACUCUGUCCUUGGUGAAGAAAAGGACGGUAGCCAAGGAGGAAGCCCCGGCUAACUACGUG
rnacentral:rRNA from 1 species